CAAAAUCUCAUCUCAUUCGAAAUCAUGAAAAUCCAUCGCCAUCGAUCUUUAGCAUCGAGCAAUGGCUCGCAACUCCCACUGCCACCGCCGUCGCCGUCUGCCCCGUCACCAAGAUCCGACAUCUCUUCGCCCAUCGACCACCACAGUGACCACCAUCAUCUCUACCCAAUUUCUAUCUCAAACAACCCCCACCCCUUGCUCUCUCUCACUCGACCAGGCGAGAAAUCACCAUCACCGUCGAAUUAUAACACCAUGGAUUUAUUUGCCGCCAACUCGCUGAUUUGGGCACAGGCUCCGCCAAAACGACCAUUGCCUUCGUCGGGCGCAGUCACCAUCGAAGACAGCUGAGGGCGGCAGUCGCCAUUGAAGACAGCUGAGGGCGGCGUGCAUCUUGAUUGGUUUGAAAAUUUUCAAAAUGCAGCCACCCGUUUUAAAAGAUGGAACGCCACAGGAGGCUACGACGGGCUUCGUCCCGCCGCCGGAGACAACCUUAUUUUCAUUAGUUGAAGGAUUUUCACAAAAAGUUCGCAGCCGGGCACACAGCGCCGCCAAAACACAAUAUUUCCCUACAAUAUUUUCCCGAUAAAUCUCACCGUAGUAAUGGUAGAUUCAGCAAUGGUGCGUUGAUGCCGACUCCUUUGGCAUGAAAUCUAUUGCGUUCUGAAAUUCACGGCUGAAGAAUUGAAAGUGCCUCCCCAAACCAUUGUCAUCAUCACUAUCCGCAUGUGGGAUAGUUGUUUCAUUUGAGUUGUGUUUUUAGUAUUUUUUUCAAAAUAUUAAUUUUUCUAAAAUUUAAAGUGUAAUUUACUUAAAAUUUAUACACAUGCCUAAUUAAUGUAUGCAUUUAUGGAAUUGUAUUGAUGCAUAGUUUGAUGAUUGUAUAAGAGUUUUAUGUACAUAUCUAUUCUUCAAGAAAAUUUUUAUUGGCAUAUGUUCUUCUGCUGAUGUGUUGUGGCAGUGGCUAUCUUUGAGUGGAUUAUUUGAAUUUUAUUUUUUUUGUUUUGAAUCUUGGAAUUGCUGUGAGGAUUUUGUAAUAUUUCUUUGAUAUGAUGGUUAAAGUUGUCCGUUAUUGCUAAAUAUGGUCUUU